AAACUUUGCAAUGUGCGAAAGCACGACAAGGUUAAUCCGAGUGAUUUCUGCUAAAGGAAUCUUUUGUCAGUCCUAAAAACACUGUUGAAUAAGGGGUGGGCAAGUUCUGGUGUCAGCCGCCGCGGUAAAACCAGCACCUCAAGUGGUCAGGAUGAUUAUUGGGCCUAAAGCAUCCGUAGCCUGCUUUGUCAGUUUUCGGUUAAAUCCAUACGCUCAACGUAUGGGCUGCCGGAAAUACUGCAAAGCUAGGGAGUGGGAGAGGUAGACGGUACUCGGGAGGAAGGGGUAAAAUCCUUUGAUCUCUCGAUGACCACCUGUGGCGAAGGCGGUCUACCAGAACACGUCCGACGGUGAGGGAUGAAAGCUGGGGGAGCAAACCGG
rnacentral:rRNA from 1 species